rnacentral:rRNA from 1 species
UACGUAGGGUGCGAGCGUUGUCCGGAAUUAUUGGGCGUAAAGGGCUCGUAGGCGGUUUGUCGCGUCGGGAGUGAAAUCCACUGGCUUAACUGGUGGCUUGCUUUCGAUACGGGCAGACUGGAGGUAUGCAGGGGAGAACGGAAUUCCUGGUGUAGCGGUGAAAUGCGCAGAUAUCAGGAGGAACACCAGUGGCGAAGGCGCCUUACUGGCCGGUUACUGACACUGAGGGACGAAAGCAAGGGGAGCAAACAGG